rnacentral:tRNA from 1 species
GGAGGGGUGGCCGAGCGGUCCAAGGCAACGGUUUGCUAAACCGUGACCCUUUAACCGGGGUCCGUGGGUUCGAAUCCCACCCCCUCCGCCA